rnacentral:rRNA from 1 species
UAGGGAAUCUUCCGCAAUGGGCGAAAGCCUGACGGAGCAACGCCGCGUGAGUGAUGAAGGUCUUCGGAUCGUAAAACUCUGUUAUUAGGGAAGAACAAAUGUGUAAGUAACUAUGCACGUCUUGACGGUACCUAAUCAGAAAGCCACGGCUAACUACGUGCCAGCAGCCGCGGUAAUACGUAGGUGGCAAGCGUUAUCCGGAAUUAUUGGGCGUAAAGCGCGCGUAGGCGGUUUUUUAAGUCUGAUGUGAAAGCCCACGGCUCAACCGUGGAGGGUCAUUGGAAACUGGAAAACUUGAGUGCAGAAGAGGAAAGUGGAAUUCCAUGUGUCGCGCUGAACUGCGCAGAGAUAUGGAGGAACACCAGUGGCGAAUGACACUUUCUCGUCGGUAAUUGACGCUGAUGGCAGACAGUGGGGGGCUGACACAGG